rnacentral:rRNA from 1 species
UUACUAUUUUAUUUAGACUUAUAUUAUUGUGUCUUUCAUUUCGGACUACGAUUUAUAAGUUUCGAUUUCUACAUUUGGUUUAACUAUUUAAAUGAUUUCAGAUUGAUAAACUUGAAAUAGUUAAAGGUUAGACUUUUCAAAAUGAUUUGAUGUAGCUCUCCAGACUUGGUCAACGUCUAGGCCGAGUAUGGGGUGUUACAGAAUUGAUGUAAUUAAGAUUGAUUAUUGAGAUAGGGACUAAAUUGAAUAGAAUAAAAUUUUUAUGAUUUGAUUGAUAUUUGAUAAUUGGUAUGAAAUUGAGUUGAAGCAUGUUGUGUUAUAUGAUAAAUUGAUGAUUGAUGAUAAAUUGAGAUUGAAAGAAUGUGAAUUGAUCUACAUUUGUAAUGAAUCAAAAAUUGGUUACUCUAUUAGCUAUUCAGACCGAAUCGGAUAUAGUUGGCAUGCCAUAUGGUCAAAAUUGUAACGACCAGAAAGUCAGUGGUAUCAAAAGCGAUGGUUUUAGAACCCUAUUUUCGAUGUUUAAACUCGUAAAUAUUAGUGGUGAAAUGCGUAGAGAUCGGAAAGAACACCAACGGCGAAAGCACUUUGCUGGGCCGACACUAACACUGAGAGACAAAAGCUAAGGGAGCGAAUAGGAUUAGAUACCCUAGUAGUCCUAGCCAGAAACAAUGGAUACUAGGCGUUGUGUAUAUCGACCUGUGUAGUACUAUAGCUAACGCGUUAAGUAUCCAGCCUAGGGAGUAUGUUUGCAAGAAUGAAACGUAAAGGAAUUGACGGGGGCCCACACAAGCGGUGGAGCAUGUGGUUUAAUUCGAUGCAAAGUGAAGAACCUUACCAGGGCUUGACAUGUCGCGAAUCCUCUUGAAAGAGAGGGGUGCCUACGGGAACGCGGACACAGGUGGUGCAUGGCUGUCGUUAGCUUGUUCCAUAAAGUGUUAGGUUAAGUCCUACAAUGAGUGCAACCCUCGUGUUUAGUUGCCACUGUUGAGUGUGGAACCCUUAGCAGACUAUUGGUGAUAAGUCAGAGGAAGGUGAGGAUGACAUCAAGUCAUCAUGCCCCUUACGACCUAGAGGACACAUGUGCUACAAUAGAUGGGACAAAGGGUCACGAUCCCGUGAGGGUGAGCUAACUUUAAAAGCCCGUCCUCAGUUCAGAUUGUAGGCUAUAACUUGCCUGUAUAAAGCUAGAAUCGCUAGUAAUCGUUGGUCAGCCAUACAACGGUGAAUUCGUUCCCAGGCCUUAUACAGACCGCCUGUCACACUAUGGGAGCUAGCCAUGCCCGAAGUCGUUACCUUAAUUGCAAGAAAAAGGAUACCGAAAAUAGGGCUAGUGAUUGGAAUGAAGUCGUAACAAGGUAGUCGUACUAGAAGGUGCGGCUG